GCCCAUUCGGUUAGCUCAGUGGGUGGAGCAUGAGACUCUUAACCUCAGGGUCGUAGGUUGGAGCUCCGCAUUGGGCA